CGUAUAAUCAGGCUGAUACAUGGGAGAGGGAAGAGAGAUAAUAUUGCAACUGUGACCGAAUAAAUAACUGGAACCAGAAGUGUGCUGGUUGGUUGUCUAUGGAGAAAAGUGCCCGGAGCUUGUUUCUGCCACAUCUUGACCUGAUGAGAUCUUUUGAAUCCCACUUCUGUAAUAUCUUUCCAAGUUUAAAAAAAUUAACCUGAUGGGGACAACCAGGUGAUCCUGGGUCCAA
rnacentral:lncRNA from 1 species